rnacentral:rRNA from 1 species
AAUGGGGGCAACCCUGACCGAGCAACGCCGCGUGAGUGAAGAAGGUUUUCGGAUCGUAAAGCUCUGUUGUAAGUCAAGAACGAGUGUGAGAGUGGAAAGUUCACACUGUGACGGUAGCUUACCAGAAAGGGACGGCUAACUACGUGCCAGCAGCCGCGGUAAUACGUAGGUCCCGAGCGUUGUCCGGAUUUAUUGGGCGUAAAGCGAGCGCAGGCGGUUUGAUAAGUCUGAAGUUAAAGGCUGUGGCUCAACCAUAGUUCGCUUUGGAAACUGUCAAACUUGAGUGCAGAAGGGGAGAGUGGAAUUCCAUGUGUAGCGGUGAAAUGCGUAGAUAUAUGGAGGAACACCGGAGGCGAGAGCGGCUCUCUGGUCUGUAACUGACGCUGAGGCUCGAAAGCGUGGGGAGCGAACAGGAUUAGAUACCCUGGUAGUCCACGCCGUAAACGAUGAGUGCUAGGUGUUGGAUCCUUUCCGGGAUUCAGUGCCGCAGCUAACGCAUUAAGCACUCCGCCUGGGGAGUACGACCGCAAGGUUGAAACUCAAAGGAAUCGACGGGGGCCCGCACAAGCGGUGGAGCAUGUGGUUUAAUUCGAAGCAACGCGAAGAACCUUACCAGGUCUUGACAUCCCGAUGCUAUUUCUAGAGAUAGAA